UACGUAGGUGGCAAGCGUUGUCCGGUAUUAUUGGGCGUAAAGGGCGCGCAGGCGGCGCAUUUUGUCAGGCGUGAAAGCCCCGGGCUUAACCUGGGAACUGCGUUUGAUACGGAUGGGCUAGAGUUCGGGAGAGGAGAGUGGAAUUCCCAGUGUAGAGGUGAAAUUCGUAGAUAUUGGGAAGAACACCGGUGGCGAAGGCGGCUCUCUGGACCGAGACUGACGCUGAGGCGCGAAAGCGUGGGGAGCAAACAGG
rnacentral:rRNA from 1 species